rnacentral:lncRNA from 1 species
UUUGUUUUGAAUGUUGGCUUAUUUAGGUGAAAUAAGUCCAUUCUGAGCAUGUGCCGUGUUAAAUGACCUUCUUCCUGGUUUUUACUGAUGGAAUAGACUUCUGUUGACAAAAGAAGUUAAUGAGAAACCUCUGUGUAAGCCCCAGCUAUACUGCUUCCUUGCCCCGGUUUCAUCCUUCUCUUCCUUCAGCAACAGCAUGAAAGCUUCUUAGUCUGCUGGAAACCAGCACAGCAGCUAUUAUAAACUAUGGGCUAGGGUCGCAAGCAUUGAACUAGGGCAGUUUAAAGAUGCAACAUGUUUAUGAAUUAAAUAUCCAUUUCAAAGUGGAUUUCAGUGCUGGGUUGUAACUAUCUAUAAUAAUGUUCUAAUUAUUCACCUUUAAUUGAGAAACAACAUGUGCCUGGGCUCAAGCUCUCUGUUCACACAUUUGAAGCAAAGAGUGUAGCUGCAGAACUGGCUGGAGAGGGAUGCUGCAGUUGCAUGCCUGGAGUGUCCAGCCAUCCUUAGAAUAUGGCCUGAGCAGCCAAGCAGGCUGAGACAGGCCAUCCUUCUGACCUAGUAUUCCUGCAGGAGGGAAACGGAGGUGUCAAAGGCAACAAAGAUUGAAAUCAUUGGGAGGACUGGGAGAGUGUUAAGACAGCUUCAAGAACCUGCCACAGAAAGGAGAGAUUGGCAGGGAUGCAAGCAGGACACCAGAAAGGGCCAAGAAAUCGUCAUGAAAGUCAUAGCUGCCACAUGGGGCCUGGAAAACAUCCCCAUUAAAUCCGCUUUCUGUAUGGUCUGAGCGAUAACACAGGUUGUAUGGAAAGUUUUAAGUUAUAGGAAAUUAUUUUGUCCCAGUUUGAGUUUUGGCUUUCCUUCUUAUGCACAAAUGCUGUAACUUGGCAUGCUAAGUACACAUUUCCAUCGUCCUUUUUCUUGUUUUACAUCAAACUAAAUGCAAGUUCAUAUACCCUGGCAAGCACUGGGACUGUUGCAAGAAGGGGAGGGGAAGGCAGAGAGGGUGCAAAGUCACUGUGAUUUACAUGCAGUGCUGGAUUUCUUAAUGUCAUUUCUGACUUGCUUCAUUAAUUUAUUUGGAAACACCUUCAGCUGAUUAGAGCUUAUAAAUCUCAAACUCCCAUCCCCUUUGAUGUCUAUAAAUAAUAUGUGCAAAUGUCCCAAUAAAGGAAGCAGUAAGC